rnacentral:rRNA from 1 species
UACGUAGGGUGCGAGCGUUGUCCGGAAUUAUUGGGCGUAAAGAGCUCGUAGGCGGUGUGUCACGUCGGCCGUGAAAACCUGCAGCUUAACUGUGGGCGUGCGGUCGAUACGGGCAUCACUGGAGUUCGGCAGGGGAGACUGGAAUUCCUGGUGUAGCGGUGAAAUGCGCAGAUAUCAGGAGGAACACCGAUGGCGAAGGCAGGUCUCUGGGCCACUACUGACGCUGGAGGAGCGAAAGCAUGGGGAGCGAACAGG